rnacentral:rRNA from 1 species
AAGGGGUGGGCAAGUUCUGGUGUCAGCCGCCGCGGUAAAACCAGCACCUCGAGUGGUCAGGAGGUUUAUUGGGCCUAAAGCAUCCGUAGCCGGUUGCAUAAGUUUUCGGUUAAAUCUAUGCGCUUAACGUAUAGGCCGCCGAAAAUACUGUGCAGCUAGGGAGUGGGAGAGGUACACGGUACUCGAUAGGAAGGGGUAAAAUCCUUUGAUCUAUUGAUGACCACCUGUGGCGAAGGCGGUGUACCAGAACACGUUCGACGGUGAGGGAUGAAAGCUGGGGGAGCAAACCGGAUUAGAUACCCGGGUAGUCCCAGCUGUAAACGAUGCAGACUCGGUGAUGCAUUGGCUUGUGGCCAAUGCAGUGCCGCAGGGAAGCCGUUAAGUCUGCCGCCUGGGAAGUACGUACGCAAGUAUGAAACUUAAAGGAAUUGGCGGGGGAGCACCACAAGGGGUGAAGCCUGCGGUUCAAUUGGAGUCAACGCCAGAAAUCUUACCUGGGGAGACAGCAGAAUGAAGGUCAAGCUGAAGACUUUACCAGACACGCUGAGAGGUGGUGCAUGG